GGUUUGGAAGAUGGAAUUGUGUUGGGGGACAGUGCCUACCCAAGCAGGAAGUUUCUCAUGACGCUUUACCUGCAUCCUGAUGUACAACGACGCCCAUGCGAAGACGAGAAAUGUGAUUGAAAGAGCGUUCGGUGUACUGAAGCGGAGGUUUCAUGUUCUUCAUGGAGAGGUUAGAAUGAAGCCAGCCAAAGUAUCAAAAAUAAUUGUAGCAUGUGUAGUGUUGCACAAUCUGGAAAAGGCAUGGGGUGAGAGGGAGGCAUUCCCAGAGGAGGAAGACCCUCAACCUCCACCAAUUGUACAGCUUGAUGGUAACCAUGACAGGCAGGCUAUCAGGGAUUGAG